GCCGGGCAUGGUGGCGCAUGCCUGUAGUCCCAGCUACUCGGGAGGCUGAGGCAGGAGAAUCGCUUGAACCCAGGAGGUGGAGGUUGUGGUGAGCCAAGAUCGCGUCACUGCGCUCCGGCCUGGGUGACAGAGCGAGAUCCCAUCUCAA
rnacentral:SRP_RNA from 1 species